GUUAAGUCCCGCAACGAGCGCAACCCCUAUCCUUUGUUGCCAGCACGUAAUGGUGGGAACUCAAAGGAGACUGCCGUUGAUAAAGCGGAGGAAGGUGGGGACGACGUCAAGUCAUCAUGGCCCUUACGACCAGGGCUACACACGUGCUACAAUGGCGUAUACAAAGGGAUGCGAAGGUGCGAACUGGAGCGGACCUCACAAAGUACGUCUAAGUCCGGAUUGGAGUCUGCAACUCGACUCCAUGAAGUCGGAAUCGCUAGUAAUCGUGAAUCAGAAUGUCACGGUGAAUACGUUCCCGGGCCUUGUACACACCGCCCGUCACACCAUGGGAGUGGGUUGCACCAGAAGUAGAUAGCUUAACCUUCGGGAGGGCGUUUACCACGGUGUGGUUCAUGACUGGGGUGAAGUCGUAACAAGGUAACCA
rnacentral:rRNA from 1 species